rnacentral:snRNA from 1 species
CCAGCUUCCUUUGCCAAACUGGUUUAGACCAAAUGUAGUAUCUGUUCUUCUCAGUUUAAUCGCCGAAACCGUCCACACGCUGGACAUCAAUCACACGAUUUAGAUCCCAAUAUUUUACUACCGCGAUCCCGGGACACGCGCUGGGGGCUUGGCCGCAGUUUGUUCUGCGACAGGGGUGUGUGUCUCUGGUAUCACACUGCUUCCAGAUGACGCCAGUCGGC